GCUUACGGCCACACCUCACUCAGCACGCCCUAUCUCGUCUGAUCUCGGAAGCUAAGCAGGGUCGGGUCUGGUUUGUACUUAGAUGGGAGACCGCCUGGGAAUACCAGGUGUGCUGUAAGCC
ensembl:rRNA 5S_rRNA 5S ribosomal RNA